rnacentral:rRNA from 1 species
GAUGAACGCUGGCGGCGUGCCUAAUACAUGCAAGUAGAACGCUGAAGGAAGGAGCUUGCUCUUUCCGGAUGAGUUGCGAACGGGUGAGUAACGCGUAGGUAACCUGCCUGGUAGCGGGGGAUAACUAUUGGAAACGAUAGCUAAUACCGCAUAACAGUAGAUGUUGCAUGAUAUCUACUUAAAAGGUGCAAUUGCACCACUACCAGAUGGACCUGCGUUGUAUUAGCUAGUUGGUGAGGUAACGGCUCACCAAGGCGACGAUACAUAGCCGACCUGAGAGGGUGAUCGGACACACUGGGACUGAGGAACGGCCCAAACCCCUACGGGAGGCAGCAGAAGGGAAUCUUAGGAAAGGGAGGGAAGUUUGACCGGGCAACGCCGGGGGAGGAAAGAAGGUUUUCGGAUCGAAAAGCUCUGUUGUAAGAGAAGAACGGGGGGGGGGGGGGAAAGUUCAAACUGGGAAGGUUUUUUACCAAAAAGGGACGGCUAAUUACGU